AUGUAGGGCAUUCUAUCUGUAAGUAAAUUACUCUAAAAGAAAUGAAUCCUAGAUAGUUUUCCCUUCAAGUCAAGAAUCUUGU
rnacentral:pre_miRNA from 1 species